rnacentral:rRNA from 1 species
UAACGCGUAGGUGACCUGCCCUGAAGUGGGGAAUAACUGCCCGAAAGGGUGGCUAAUACCGCAUGUGGUGGUUCGUUCGUUCGAACCAGCAAAGCAGCGAUGCGCUUCGGGAGGGGCCUGCGUCCGAUUAGCUCGUUGGUGGGGUAAUGGCUCACCAAGGCGACAUCGGUAGGUGGUCUGAGAGGACGAUCACCCAGACUGGGACUGAGACACGGCCCAG